AUUGCGUCUGAUUAGCUAGUUGGAGGGGUAACGGCCCACCAAGGCGAUGAUCAGUAGCCGGUCUGAGAGGAUGAACGGCCACAUUGGGACUGAGACACGGCCCAAACUCCUACGGGAGGCAGCAGUGGGGAAUCUUCCGCAAUGGACGAAAGUCUGACGGAGCAACGCCGCGUGAGUGAUGACGGCCUUCGGGUUGUAAAGCUCUGUUAAUCGGGACGAAAGAGCCUUGUGUGAAUAAUGCGAGGAAGUGACGGUACCGGAAUAGAAAGCCACGGCUAACUAC
rnacentral:rRNA from 1 species